rnacentral:misc_RNA from 1 species
UCCAUCUCCACUCCAAAUAGAAUUGCUUAGGACUAUCAAUUCGCAGGAAAGUAAUAGAACUUCUGAGGGCCUUGGUACUUGUAUAAUAUGUUUUCCGUUUCAAGGGUUAUGUGCAGCAGCCUUAAAAAUAUUUGCAUCAUUUCCUUGCCAAAAGCCAAUCGGGUUGUAUAUUCACAAUUACAGCUGCCUCUUAGAACUCAAAAUUUCACAACUUUAAAAAAACCCGAAACAUUUCAAAUAUCAAGAUUACGUACCCAUUGUAGGUGCAUGGGUACAAUUAUUAAAAUAGUGCACGAAGAAAAUAGGUUUUUUAUAGAAAUGAACGAUGAAGUUGCUGAAUUGAAAUACUCUAUUAAUGAUGGAGUUAUGGAAAUAAAGCAGACAAAGGUUCCUAAAAAAUUGGGCGGACACGGUCUGGGCAAGUUAUUGGCUAAGGUAUUUGUAUACCAUCUCUCUUCAACAAAUUUUAUAAAGCGUUGCUAUGCAAUCUGGUUGCUAUUCAACAAACUAAACCGUACACACAUAUUUGCAUAUAUCAAAAAUUCUUUAUUGAAGAAAGUCCCCGGUCAACUUUAGUAGUCCGGUUGUUUCUUAGUUAAAUACAUAUUAACAUGCGUUCAAUUUAAAAAAUACAAAUGAAAAAAUAACACUUGAUGUGAUAAGUAGCUUUGGAAUAUGCCGUACAACAUGACUUAAUUCUCAAAAUAUCAUGCAGUUUUGUACAAUUCUACAUUGAACAAUAUGAACCACG